GACGAACGCUGGCGGCGUGCCUAAUACAUGCAAGUUGAGCGCUGAAGGUUGGUACUUGUACCGACUGGAUGAGCAGCGAACGGGUGAGUAACGCGUGGGGAAUCUGCCUUUGAGCGGGGGACAACAUUUGGAAACGAAUGCUAAUACCGCAUAAAAACUUUAAACACAAGUUUUAAGUUUGAAAGAUGCAAUUGCAUCACUCAAAGAUGAUCCCGCGUUGUAUUAGCUAGUUGGCGAGGUAAAGGCUCACCAAGGCGAUGAUACAUAGCCGACCUGAGAGGGGGAUCGGCCACAUUGGGACUGAGACACGGCCCAAACUCCUACGGGAGGCAGCAGUAGGGAAUCUUCGGCAACGGACGAAAGUCUGACCGAGCAACGCCGCGUGAGUGAAGAAGGGUUUCGGAUCGUAAAACUCUGUUGGUAGAGAAGAACGUUGGUGAGAGUGGAAAGCUCAUCAAGUGACGGUAACUACCCAGAAAGGGACGGCUAACUACGUG
rnacentral:rRNA from 1 species